rnacentral:tRNA from 1 species
GGAAAAAUGGUCGAGUGGUCUAAGGCGUAGCAUUGGAAAUGCUAUGUAGAUUUUUUCUACCGAGGGUUCGAAUCCCUCUUUUUCC